rnacentral:rRNA from 1 species
UACGAAGGGGGGCUAGCGUUGCUCGGAAUUACUGGGCGUAAAGCGCACGUAGGCGGCUUCUUAAGUCGGUGGUGAAAUCCUGGAGCUCAACUCCAGAACUGCCUUCGAUACUGGGAAGCUCGAGUCCGGGAGAGGUGAGUGGAACUGCGAGUGUAGAGGUGAAAUUCGUAGAUAUUAGGAAGAACACCGGUGGCGAAGGCGGCCCACUGGUCCGGUACUGGACGCUGAGGUGCGAAACGUGGGGAGCAAACAGG